UACGUAGGGUGCAAGCGUUGUCCGGAAUCAUUGGGCGUAAAGCGCACGUAGGCGGCUUUUUAAGUCAGGGGUGAAAUCCUGGAGCUCAACUCCAGAACUGCCUUUGAUACUGGGAAGCUUGAGUCCGGAAGAGGUGAGUGGAACUCCGAGUGUAGAGGUGAAAUUCGUAGAUAUUCGGAAGAACACCAGUGGCGAAGGCGGCUCACUGGUCCGGUACUGACGCUGAGGUGCGAAAGCGUGGGGAGCAAACAGG
rnacentral:rRNA from 1 species